UACGGAGGAUCCGAGCGUUAUCCGGAUUUAUUGGGUUUAAAGGGUGCGCAGGCGGGAGAUUAAGUCGGCGGUGAAAUUUUGCAGCUCAACUGUAAAAGUGCCUUCGAAACUGGUUUCCUUGAGUGUGGAUGAAGUAGGCGGAAUUUGUGGUGUAGCGGUGAAAUGCAUAGAUAUCACGAGGAACUCCGAUUGCGCAGGCAGCUUACUAAACCAUAACUGACGCUCAGGCACGAAGGCGUGGGGAUCAAACAGGAUUAGAUACCCGCGUA
rnacentral:rRNA from 1 species